rnacentral:rRNA from 1 species
GAAGAGUUUGAUCAUGGCUCAGAUUGAACGCUGGCGGCAGGCCUAACACAUGCAAGUCGAACGGUAACAGGAAGCAGCUUGCUGCUUUGCUGACGAGUGGCGGACGGGUGAGUAAUGUCUGGGAAACUGCCUGAUGGAGGGGGAUAACUACUGGAAACGGUGGCUAAUACCGCAUAACGUCGCAAGACCAAAGAGGGGGACCUUCGGGCCUCUUGCCAUCAGAUGUGCCCAGAUGGGAUUAGCUUGUUGGUGAGGUAACGGCUCACCAAGGCGACGAUCCCUAGCUGGUCUGAGAGGAUGACCAGCCACACUGGAACUGAGACACGGUCCAGACUCCUACGGGAGGCAGCAGUGGGGAAUAUUGCACAAUGGGCGCAAGCCUGAUGCAGCCAUGCCGCGUGUAUGAAGAAGGCCUUCGGGUUGUAAAGUACUUUCAGCGGGGAGGAAGGUGUUGUGGUUAAUAACCGCAGCAAUUGACGUUACCCGCAGAAGAAGCACCGGCUAACUCCGUGCCAGCAGCCGCGGUAAUACGGAGGGUGCAAGCGUUAAUCGGAAUUACUGGGCGUAAAGCGCACGCAGGCGGUCUGUCAAGUCGGAUGUGAAAUCCCCGGGCUCAACCUGGGAACUGCAUUCGAAACUGGCAGGCUUGAGUCUUGUAGAGGGGGGUAGAAUUCCAGGUGUAGCGGUGAAAUGCGUAGAGAUCUGGAGGAAUACCGGUGGCGAAGGCGGCCCCCUGGACAAAGACUGACGCUCAGGUGCGAAAGCGUGGGGAGCAAACAGGAUUAGAUACCCUGGUAGUCCACGCCGUAAACGAUGUCUACUUGGAGGUUGUGCCCUUGAGGCGUGGCUUCCGGAGCUAACGCGUUAAGUAGACCGCCUGGGGAGUACGGCCGCAAGGUUAAAACUCAAAUGAAUUGACGGGGGCCCGCACAAGCGGUGGAGCAUGUGGUUUAAUUCGAUGCAACGCGAAGAACCUUACCUGGUCUUGACAUCCACAGAACUUUCCAGAGAUGGAUUGGUGCCUUCGGGAACUGUGAGACAGGUGCUGCAUGGCUGUCGUCAGCUCGUGUUGUGAAAUGUUGGGUUAAGUCCCGCAACGAGCGCAACCC